UACGGGGGGGGGCAAGCGUUUGUUCGGAAUUACUGGGCGUAAAGGGCUCGUAGGUGGCCAACUAAGUCGGACGUGAAAUCCCCAGGCUCAACCUGGGAACUGCGUCCGAUACUGGAUGGCUUGAAUCCGGGAGAGGGAUGCAGAAUUCCAGGUGUAGCGGUGAAAUGCGUAGAUAUCUGGAGGAAUACCGGUGGCGAAGGCAGGUCUCUGGGCAUUAACUGACGCUGAGGCGCGAAAAGCGUGGGGGAGCAAACAGG
rnacentral:rRNA from 1 species